CCAACAGGACAUCAUCUCAGAGUAACUCCUGUACAUCAGGUACCACAUACAAGAGGAAGCAGAGCGUCCACAGAUAAUAAAUACGCUGACUACACGCACGUCUUCAGGGCACUGAGGCCGGAGUGGGACGGGACAGUUUGCACCAGUCAGUGACUCAGGCUUUCAUCUGUCUCCUCCCAUUCCCAGCGACACACACCAUUAACCAGCCGGGACACUCCAUCUGGAGAGAUAGACGUGAAAUUCAGAGGAGAGAGAGGAUGACGUGCUGCAAAGGACCCAGACUAGAGUCGAACCCAGACCAGAGUCGAACCCAGACGGCUGCAGCACCCUACAGGUGAGUUACCGGGGCACCCCACCUUGUAUUAUUUUUAAUAUUCAGAGAUUCCAAAGAUGCAAAAAGAGAGAGAACAACUUUUCAGCUUUUAUUUGAAAUGUGAAUUUACACAGGGAAACUGAAAGUCAUGUUUGUGGAUAUAAAAAAAAAAAGUUCAAUAACAAAAACUUUCACACAAAAGGUGUGGUAUGUCUUUUUGCAACAUUCGUUGUAGCUUCCCACUGAAUCUGAGCUUCAACAGAGGCACCUCUCUCUUUAAUAAAUAGUUUCAUUUACAGAAUGAGUAAUUAGUUAUAAAUAUGAAGGCGCAUUUAAAACAUUUUUUUUUUAAAGCAAUUAUAAAUGUAUUGAUUCAGUUACAAAAACAAACAAACAGGCAAAGCAAAUCAACCAAGCAGAGAUGCAGAAACUGCAAAUAAUAAUGGCUAAACCAGAGAUUGGCACAAAAUGAUAAACGGACAAACGAAACAUGACGUUCAAACUCAAGUGAAACUUUAAAUUAUAGGCACUAGUUUCAUAACAGCCACCACACCGAUUACCAGAACAGCUUCCCUAACACUGGCACAAGAGGUAAAAGCCAGCAAAACAUAUUCCUCUUGUCUUCUUUGUUCGAGACGUUCUUCCAUUUAUUUUUUUUUCAUGGCAUGAAUGAUAUACACUGACAGGAAUCUGAAUUUACUGAAGCACUUUAAAGUUUCCUUCGUUUCAUUGGCUGAAAGGGGGCAAAAUAUGUUCAGGUUUCUUUCAAAGAAUCAGAUAUAACUCAAACCUAAAGUCAACCUGUUCUUUAUAAUCUUAGCACUUAAAUGGAAAUGUAUAAUCUUGGCUAAUUGUGUUACAAAUCAGAAGGCUUUGGCCGAGGUGUCAUCAGUCACCAAGUCCCGAUUUGACACUUAAAAUAAAAGGCUUUGGAGAGUUAGCUUGCAGUUGAGGUUCAAAAUGUACAUUUUUAACAAUUGAAAUCUUUAAAACAAAAAUACUGAUAUGGAUGUUUGGACAUACAUUUCUUAAAUAAUUUGAAUAAAUAAUUUCCAAAACAAACUUGUGCAUACAUUCUGGCUGAUUUACAUGAGGAAAGAUUCUUUAAAAAAAAAAAAAGGUCAUGACACACACAAGAGGUGCUUUCACUGUUGCAAGACAUCCGCGAAUUCUCUGAACGUUUACGAGACAUUUUUCACCUGCACAGCAUCAUCAUAGAGAUCGCUCACCUACUUCUGUUAAACACAGAGCAUAAAGAGAGAAAUGUGUGGAAACAUUUCAACCUGAGGGAGGCGGGGG